UAUAUAUAUAUAUUUGAAUAUAUGUAUCUAUAUAUUGUAUCAUACCUUUUUUGAAACCCUAGAUACCGGGGAACACGUUCUUGAUUGCACCCAAAAUGCUGGUUUUGUCACAAACCUAGCUUAAUUAGCUAGGCAGCCUAGACCUAUCUUCAAUAUAAAAUUAGUUAAUAAAUUAAAUAAACCAAAUUAAUUAGGUAAAUCCAAUCUUCCCACAUGUGUGGGUGAGGCAUGCAUCAAUCAAUUAUGUUGGGAAAAUGAAGUAAUGGAUAGAAUUGACAGAAAUUUGACAGCCAAGUGGAUAAAUAAUUAAUGAAAAUAUAUAUAAAUCAAGUAUCAACCUAGUUAGCUACUUUCUGGGGUUUCUCCAAAUGUAAUUUUAGUAUCAAUCAAUUUGGAGGAAAGGACAAAAUUAUUUCUCAAGAUUAGUUCAAUAGCUCUUAAUUUACAGGGUUAAUUUGAUUAAGAAAGAGAAAUAAUAAUUAUAAAAAAAUUAACGAGUUAAUUAUUAGAUAAAUAAUUUAUAGAAAAUAGUUUAAUAUCAAAUAUUUAAUUCGGGCCAACUUAAAACGGAUUACAUCGGGGGCGAGAAAUUAGAUAAUUGAUAGUAAAUCACAGGCCCAACGGGCCCAAUUGGAGCCCAUAAUACGGCCCGGCCCAUAAGAGAUCUGCACCGACCAUCAGGCGAUCUGUCCUGUGAAUGUUUUACAGUAGUUUCCAUUGUGAACUAUAAUCGCUGUUUGGUUUUUUCCUGGAAAGCAACUUUAGCCAUAUAAAUGCUUUCACGAAGUUUCGCUCUGUACCAAAUUUAGGGCGGGAAAUUUCACUGUUUCAAUAUUUUUUCACCAGUUUCGCACAAAUGUGGAGAAGAAACGAGCUCAGAUUUGGAAAUAACGCGCAAAAAAACGAAGAUUCUGAUCAGAGCAUUUCUGAAGAGGAGGAUGAUUUGGAGGGUGAGUGGCCAGCAAAUACAAUCUCCUUGGGUGGAGCUGGAGACAACAAGG